GACGAACGCUGGCGGCGUGCCUAAUACAUGCAAGUAGAACGCUGAAGAGAGGAGCUUGCUCUUCUUGGCUGAGUUGCGAACGGGUGAGUAACGCGUAGGUAACCUGCCUUGUAGCGGGGGAUAACUAUUGGAAACGAUAGCUAAUACCGCAUAACAAUGGAUGACACAUGUCAUUUAUUUGAAAGGGGCAAUUGCUCCACUACAAGAUGGACCUGCGUUGUAUUAGCUAGUAGGUGAGGUAAUGGCUCACCUAGGCGACGAUACAUAGCCGACCUGAGAGGGUGAUCGGCCACACUGGGACUGAGACACGGCCCAUACUCCUACGGGAGGCAGCAGUAGGGAAUCUUCGGCAAUGGGGGCAACCCUGACCGAGCAACGCCGCGUGAGUGAAGAAGGUUUUCGGAUCGUAAAGCUCUGUUGUAAGUCAAGAACGGGUGUGAGAGUGGAAAGUUCACACUGUGACGGUAGCUUACCAGAAAGGGACGGCUAACUACGUG
rnacentral:rRNA from 1 species